GGGGAAGUUACGGUCGUUGAAAAACGAGGACAACUGAGAUGUACGGGAGUACUAACUUGCAUGAGUCUUUUUAUAAAACAGGUUCUGAUCCAGGUGGAUUGGAGGAGCACAAAUUGGCCAGUUGAUUAGAGUUCAAGAACGCCAUAUUCCUGUGAAAAUGAAGAAUAAGGAUGGCAUGAUUCAGGAACCUUGAAUGACGAGAAAUUGAGAGUUUAGUUGCACAGAAAAAGCAGGUGUUCUAGAUUCAUGAUUUGCAGAAACCUUGGGCAAAGAGCGACUGCACAAAACGAAGUGAGCCUGAAACUGAGUUCCACUAUGGAAAGUGGAAUUUUCAUCAUGUGUAGUACUAGGAAGAAAAUCAUUUUGAACAGGUUCUAAGUGCCAAAUGUGUUGAACACAUGAAACAUCAGAGAGAAGAAAAAGAAGUCCAUUUACAUCAGUACAACUGGGCCAAACUCUUGUCCAGAGAUCAGGCAUUCUGUAGACUGCGAUGGCCACUGUCAUCCCUGGUGAUCUUUUAGAAGUAAAGGAUACUCAGAAGGUUCUAGUGGGGAAACGUAAACAAAGUGACAUCAAAUCGAGAAAAUCCUUUCCUUGUCAGUUGUGUGGAAAAAUCUUCACUAGUGUUGAGAAAUUGAAAGUGCAUUCGUAUUCACACACCGGCGAAAGACCGUACAAGUGUUCACACGAAGCCUGUACCAAGGCAUUUGUGUCUAAGUAUAAGCUAUUGAGGUAUGGAAAAUUUGAUACAUUAUAGGAAUUAUUACUAUUUUACAGCAACAUCAGGGAUAUUUCAUCAUAGAAUCCCUACGGUGUGGAAACAGGCCCUUCGGCCCAACAAGUCCACACCGACCCUCUGAGCAUCC